UAAGCACCAUAUCAAAAGUUCUAGAAGGUUUCCAUUAUUCUCUAAAACUCUUUCGUCGGCGAAUUUUGAAAAUUUUCUCUGUCGUAUUCUUCUUCACAGAGAGUUUCUGGAGGAUUCUUUGACACCAAUCUACUUAAUCUCUUCAGUUCGUAUAAGAAGAAUCCUUCCUCUGUGAUUACAGAGAGUUUCUCAAGGAUCCAUAAAGUUGCAGUUUUCAGGUCAACAUAAUAUCUUCAGAUAUUUUUGGAGACUCAUGAAAGAUUUCAAAGUGUCUGUGGACUUCAAGAUAGGUAUGUGUUUCUCCUAAACUUGCAUUUAAUUAGCUUAUAUUGUUAAAAACUUAAAUAAUGGCAGAAAGUGAAGAUUUUGGCAGAUAUUAAAAACAUCUACAACAAGAUAAUUUAUCGUAGUCAGGUGAGACAUGUGAGUGAUGUUUUGAACUAAAUCACAACUCAAGUAAAAAAGCACGUAGCUGCUUGAAAGAGUGUCCAAAUUCUUGGAGAGUAAGAAGAUUUCAAGCAUAGAAAUUUCUCAGGUAAGUAAACCUUUUAGUUCUAACUUUUUUAUAAUCGUUGAAAUAGAUAUUCAUUACUUGAUUAGUAUUGUUAGGAACAAUUAGAUGUGAGAGUAUUGGUGAGGCCUAUUGAUUUUAUUGGUUGCUUUAUGGUCUAUUUCAUGGGCCAUGAUUUAUGCUUUUAAGUCAUGGCUUGAUUCUUCUGGAGAGUAAGAAGAUUUCAAGCAUAAAAAUUUCUCAGGAGUCUCUGAUAGGUGGAGAGAACAAAUCCUUGUUCCUCAAUUACAGUUCUUCGUUGAUCAUUUUUUUUUAUUUUGUCAUCUCAUAACCAAAUACGAACAAAAACAAAUACAAAAAAUUAACCAAACAAGACUCAAACGAAGCCCAAUAAAAUAAACUUCCUUGGAAUUCAAAUCAACAAGUUCCCAAGUAGGACUGCAAGAAAGAUCUUCAUCUUCGAUUCACAACCAUCUUCUUAUCAAAAUAGACAAGCCUCCGACGGAAACCUAAGCUCCAUUGACGCAGAUGAGAUAAACAAUCGUCAGCUCCAAUUUCUUCAAACUCAGACGAAAGGCACCAAGAGAUAUAUCAAUCCGAAAGCGCAAUUCGUUCUUUAAAAUUGAAAAUCUGGUAAGCAUGAAGAACGAAUCCAGCCCCUUAAACAAGGUAGGAUCGAAGAGUUACAAACUCAGAUCGAAGGAACGAGAUGAAGCAAUCCGAAGCCAAAUGAAGCCGAAACAAAUUCAAAGUUGAAAGAGAUGAAAAAGAAAAGGCAAAGCCGGACCAACACCGGAGCAAAAGCCGAUUAUGGCCGUGACAAAGCGGCGGGUGAAGUGGUUAUCACCAACAAUAAGAAAAGCAACGUGACCAAAACAAAUUCAAGGCCCGAGUAAUAAUGUUGAUCAAGUGGUUAUCACCUUCGAUGUAGUCCUCACUCCUCACUCGUAACCAUUAAUCACAACAAGAAGAAUCAUUGUUUCUUCUUGUGUUUUCCAACAUUAUGUAUUAGCUCUUUGUACGAUUCAUGCCCAUUUUUCAACAUUACAACUUGAUAGGAGAGGAUUGUAUUGUCAAUCUUUCAUGACACAUAACCAAAAGACCAAUUAAUGGCAAGUAAAAUAAAGUUGUAAUUUUUCCCCUAA